UGAUAAAGGCCUUUUGGAAGCAGAUAAAAGGUGUGUUUGGCUGCCUGGCGGCCUUGAACCUUUCACUCUGCUUUGUCCAGCUGGGUUUGGAGAUUGAGGUCUGGGAGUGUGAUUGUGUAUUUGUUCCAACUGAUACUGGAGUUGUUUGCUUUGAACAAUGUGACUUUGUUCCUUUGUUGGAUGGGGCCCUGCAGCAGAGCUGUUGCUUAGGAAAGGAAAGGAAAAAAAAAAAAACCACACAUCGGGAACUUGUUACAAGUAGAAGGGUUUUAUGGGUCAUAUGUUGGUGCGAGAGUCCAGGCAGGUUAGUGGGGCGAUAGAGACAGAGACUCAGCUGUCCUGGUAUCUGGAGGGACAGCCUCAAUGGACUUCCUUUCCAUGGCUGCCCUGAGGCAGAGGCACAGGCCCUGGGCUAUUUCCAAGAAGGUGCUCCCAGCAGUUUACCAGGAGCCAGGAAAGAAAGCUUCAUUUUAUUUAAAAAUCAUUGGCGGAGUUCCCAUCAUGGCGCAAUGGAAACGAAUCCAAGUAGGAACCAUGAGGUUGAGGGUUCGAUCCCUGGCCUCGCUCAGUGGGUUAAGGAUUUGACAUUGCUGUGGCUGUGGUGUAGGCCAGCAGAUUUGACCCCUAGCCUGGGAACCUCCAUAUGCUGUGGGUGUGGCCCUAAAAAGAAAAAAAAAAAUCAUUGGCAAUUUGCUUCCCCCAGAAGAGGGGACUCUUUAAUUGUACCCUGUAGGGCAAGGCAGCCACAAGCUGAGAGCCCUGCUGGUGUGAACUGAAACUGUAAGCACACCUACUGUGUGCCAGGCAGCGGACCCAACACUGCUAAACACUUGUCUACGCCUCAUCUCGUUAAAGCAGCUGAUGACCUCAUGGGACAGGUCCAAAGCUGUGGACUGCAGGCAACUCACAGAGCCCUUCCCAGCCCCACAUCCAGAGACCUUAGAGCACUAGGUCGAAAAGUUGGCCCUGAUGGAAGUGUUUACACCAUGGAGAUUGGCAAAUGCUAGGAGUUCAGAAGGUUUUUUUUUUUUUUUUUUUGGUUUUUGGGGAACUAGUUGUUCAACACACCAUUGGAUAGACAUGAGAAUAUCCCCAGUUUACAGAGGAGAAACUGAAAUCUUAAAAAAAAUGUUUUACUUUACUGAAGUAUAGUUGAUUAGCCAUGUUGUAAUUUCUGCUGUACAGCAAAGCAAUUCAGUUAUACAUUCUUUUUCAUAUUCUUUUCUAUUAUGGUUGAUGACAGGAUAUUGAAUAUAAUUCCCUGUGCUGUACAGUAGGACCUUGUUGUUUAUUCAUUCUAUAUAUAAUAGUUUAUAUCUGCUAACCCCAAACUCCCAAUCCUUCCCUCCCCCACCUCCUCCCCCUUGGCAACCACAAGUCUGUUCUCUAUGUCUGUGAGUCUGUUUCAUAAAUAAGUUCAUUGGUAUCUUAUUUUAGACUCCACAUAAAAGUGGUUUCAUAUGACAGUUGUCUUUCUCUGUCUGACUUACUUCACUUAGUAUGAUAAUCUCUAGGUCCAUCCAUAUGGCUGCAAAUGGCAUUAUUUCAUUCUUUCUUUUGUGGCUGAGUAGUAUCCCAUUGUAUAUACGUACCAUGUCUUUUUUAGCCGUUUCUCUGUCAGUGUGCAUUUAGGUUGCUUCCAUGUCUUGGCUAUUGUGAAUAGUGCUGCGAUGAACAUAAGGUACAUUUAUCUUUUUGAAUUGUGGUUUUCUCCACAUAGAUGCCCAGAAAUGGUAUUGCUGGAUCAUAUGGUAGCUCUACUUUUAAUUUUUCAAGGAAACUCCAUACUGGUUUCCACAGUGGUUGUACCAAUUUACAUUCCCACCAACAGUGUAGGAGGGUUCCUUUUUCUCCAUACCCUCUCCAGCAUCUGUUAUUCGUAGAUUUUUUUAAAUGAUGACCAUUCUGACCGGUGCGAGAUUUUACCUCAUUAUAGUUUUAAUUUGCAGGAAAUCAGGUCUUAAGAAACUUGUCGGGGGGUCACACAGUUUCAAAUCCAAGUCCUCCAAAAAAAAGGCCUUCCGCUGAGACCUCCUGUGGUGUGCAUUUAGGAGAAAGCUAGAAGAGGCCAGGGAGCCUAGAGGGAAGGGGUAGAAAAAGCAACUUUUGGAGCUAAACUGUCAGGAAGAGCGAGGGGCAGUGAUUUCGUUGGAUUGCCACCUGCCACAUGUCUGAAGGACCCAAACAAUAGGAUUUUGCUGCAAGAUUUCCUGCAGCCUCAGGAGCUACUAGGAGAAAGAGCCAAAAGGAACCUUCCUGAAAUGAGGGUCUUGGGGACACUGGGAUCCUGGGGGCUGCUCUGAGGCCUUCCCAGAUUACUGGGGCAGGGCAGGAGGCCCAGAGGAUUUCUGCAGAGCCGAGCCCUGCAAGCUGCUUGGAAGCACCCCCGAAGAGCCCAGAGGCUAUGCUCAGGGCCUGGCAGACGCAAGCACGACCUCACCCAGCACACAGACCCUCACCACCUGCCCUGGGACCAGCCCUCCUCACUUCCUCUUUGGGACAAGAAACCCAUAUUCCAUCCCAACAACCCUGGAAGUGCUCUGGCCAUUUCCAGGGUCACCAGACUCUCAGGAGCAAGGAGGUGAAGGUGGGUGUGCUGGGAGUAUCUCCUCUGGGUGUCCACCACCCCGGUUUGCAAACCUCAUACCGUGCUGGCCAGGGCAACACUGGGGCAGCCAGGUUGUCAGGAAACUGCCCCCAUAGAAGGUUGGACACCUGCAGACCAUGUGGGUGUGAUGUCUGGGUCACCCAUGUGCCCUUGUGAUGUGGGGCGGGGAGGCAGGGAGUAGAGUUGGGAGGAACAAGGGACCUCAGGAGAACCCAUGGGUUCUCAGAGAAGGAAUGGGGCAGGAAAGAUGCACAGGGAUUCUCGAGUUUAGCUGCUCAGGUGAGAAGGAAGAGCUGCCCUCCCCACCUCUACGUCUGUACCACCCUCCACCUGCUACUGAUGAGAUUCUGUUCUCUCUCCCUUCCUGCUGGGUCAUGGCUCCGGGAUGGAUGGUGGCUGCCCAAGCUGGCUGGUACAUUUCUAUUCCUUUUCUGCCAUGGAGACCCCGAGUCAGCUCAGGGGCCACCUGGGACACCCACAGUCCAGGUGUGUGAUAUUUGCAUUCCCCUCCAAACUGGGUGCUAGGAAACCCAGCUUUGGGUCAUGGAGAGAGAUCACAUUUCCCAUAAAGCCCAUAACAAAUGCAGAAUGCGAUUGAAACAGUGUCUAGCACCAUUUUGCCCUUAGUGGAACACCAUUAUAAAUUGCCUCUUGUUGUGCAUUGGUAAACUUUACAAGAUAAUGGAGCUGGAGUGAGUGGUGAUGUUGUUGGAGGUUUCUCCUCCCUCCUUAACUUUCUAAAUCUUUCCUGGCUUUGUGGAAUUGCUGCCUAGUGCAGUAGUAAAUGAUGUAUGAAAUGAAGUAUUGCUUCCCCCCAGCCAAGCAAUGGCUUUGCCAUCGUUGCUCCUAUAUGUAUUAUUUGGAGUUAUGUUUGGGCUGGCUGCCAUCAGAGAAGCCCAAUGUUUAAGCAAGCAAACAAACAAAAAGACCAAGAAGGAAGGUGAGGAAGAAAGAGGAAAAUAAGAAAAAUUUGUAUGAUAAGCAAAAUAGCCUGGGGAGUUCCUGUCGUGGUGCAGUGGUUAACAAAUCCGACUAGGAACCAUGAGGUUUCGGGUUUGAUCCCUGCCCUUGCUCAGUGGAUUAAGGAGCUGGCGUUGCCGUGAACUGUGGUGUAGGUUGCAGACACGGCUCAGAUCUUGCAUUGCUGUGGCUCUGGCAUAGGCCGGCGGCUACAGCUCCAGUUAGACCCCUAGCCUGGGAACCUCCAAUUGCCACGGGAGUGGCCCUAGAAAAGGCAAAAAGCCAAAAAAAAAAAAAAAAAAAAAAAAAAAAAAA
rnacentral:lncRNA from 1 species